rnacentral:rRNA from 1 species
CCUACGGGAGGCUGCAGUGAGGAAUAUUGGUCAAUGGACGAGAGUCUGAACCAGCCAAGUAGCGUGAAGGAUGACUGCCCUAUGGGUUGUAAACUUCUUUUAUAUGGGAAUAAAAUGUUCCACGUGUGGGAUUUUGUAUGUACCAUAUGAAUAAGGAUCGGCUAACUCCGUGCCAGCAGCCGCGGUAAUACGGAGGAUCCGAGCGUUAUCCGGAUUUAUUGGGUUUAAAGGGAGCGUAGGUGGAUUGUUAAGUCAGUUGUGAAAGUUUGCGGCUCAACCGUAAAAUUGCAGUUGAAACUGGCAGUCUUGAGUACAGUAGAGGUGGUCGGAAUUCGUGGUGUAGCGGUGAAAUGCUUAGAUAUCACGAAGAACUCCGAUUGCGAAGGCAGUUCACUGGACUGCAACUGACACUGAGGCUCGAAAGUGUGGGUAUCAAACAGGAUUAGAUACCCUAGUAGUC